UACGUAGGGUGCAAGCGUUGUCCGGAAUUAUUGGGCGUAAAGAGCUCGUAGGUGGUUUGUCGCGUUGUUCGUGAAAACUCACGGCUUAACUGUGAGCGUGCGGGCGAUACGGGCAGACUGGAGUACUGCAGGGGAGAUUGGAAUUCCUGGUGUAGCGGUGGAAUGCGCAGAUAUCAGGAGGAACACCGAUGGCGAAGGCAGAUCUCUGGGCCAUUACUGACGCUGAGGAGCGAAAGCAUGGGGAGCGAACAGG
rnacentral:rRNA from 1 species